rnacentral:rRNA from 1 species
AUGCCUAACACAUGCAAGUCGAACGCUUGGGAGCGAUCCCGAGAGUGGCGGACGGGUGAGUAACGCGUGGGAACCUGCCCUGGAGUGUGGGAUAACCGAUGGAAACGUCGGCUAAUACCGCAUACGACCUGAGGGUGAAAGAUUUAUCGCUCUAGGAGGGGCCCGCGUCGGAUUAGCUAGUUGGUGGGGUAAAGGCCUACCAAGGCGAUGAUCCGUAGCUGGCCUGAGAGGAUGAUCAGCCACACUGGGACUGAGACACGGGCCAGA